rnacentral:misc_RNA from 1 species
UUAACUAUUAUAUAGUACUCAGACAUCACUAAAAUUCCGAGUUUGGUCCUCUGGCAGGCACAUGCAGGCAGAGCCCACGGUGGGAGACCACGGCCUGCCAAAGCAACGAGAGUAGAUAGACACGGAUUGGGUAUACCCGAAGGUAUCCUUUUAUUAAUGAUCCUUCCGCAGGUUCACCUACGGAAA